CGGCAGUAGUAUUACUUACGUGUCCUACUCAGAGGCUUAAGAAAAACGCCCAGAUGUCAGCAUUUAAAUCUCAGUUGCCAUGUAACAAACCGUUUAAGUAAACCAAUCCUAGCCCUUGACUGGUCAACCUGAAAAGGCGCUAAUGCACGUAAGGACUGAGAUGACAGCUUCCGGCCACUGCUAAUAUUUACCUCAAAAGUCAGUUGACAGAUCAAGGCAACUGGAAAAAUCACUGCUUUGUUCUAGACUCUAAAGUCACACUGUCAAACGGAGCUUCUCUGAUGGUUGAGCUGCGGUAUCUGCAUUCUCUGGGGAUGCGAAGUGCGGCCAGUGCAGCUGAGGAACC
rnacentral:lncRNA from 1 species